UACGUAGGGUGCGAGCGUUGUCCGGAAUUAUUGGGCGUAAAGGGCUCGUAGGCGGUUUGCCGCGUCGGGAGUGAAAUCCACUGGCUUAACUGGUGGCUUGCUUUCGAUACGGGCAGACUGGAGGUAUGCAGGGGAGAACGGAAUUCCUGGUGUAGCGGUGAAAUGCGUAGAUAUCCGGAGGAACACCGGUGGCGAAGGCGGCUUCCUGGACCGACACUGACGCUGAGGCGCGAAAGCUAGGGGAGCAAACGGG
rnacentral:rRNA from 1 species